UGUGUUUGAUGUUCUGGCAGGGUCCGAGGUACCUCUGCCCCUAGCAGCUAUAUCGGAGCUUUUAGGCACAAGCAUCAGAGGAACUGAAAUCUUACUUGAUGCCUGUGUGGGACUUAAACUAUUGGAAGCAGAUAAUCAAAAUGGAGAAGUGUUAUAUAAAAACACAGAACUUGCUCACCGCUACCUGAGAAAGACCAGUUCUAAGUCCCUGUUUAGUUCAAUUACCCAUUUCUCCACAAAGGUUUGCCGAAAAGUGGACUUACUUACAGACAGUGUCAAGCAAGGGAUACCAGUGAGUAA